rnacentral:rRNA from 1 species
AUAUCAGUAAGCGGAGGAAAAGAAAGUAACAACGAUUACCUUAGUAGCGGCGAGUGAAUAGGUAAAAGCCCAAGAUGUUAAUCUGCUAUAAUGUAGUAGAAUUGUAAUCUAUAGAGUAGCUCGGAAGGUCAAGAAUCAUCAUAAGUUCCUUGGAAUAGGACGCCAGAGAAGGUGAAAGCCCUGUCUUCGGAUGAUUCGAGGCGAUACGAGAUAUUUCUAAGAGUCGGGUAGUUUGGGAAUGCUGCCCUAAGCGGGAGGUAAACUUCUCCUAAGGCUAAAUAUUUAUAGGAAACCGAUAGCAUACAAGUACUGCGAAGGAAAGAUGAAAAGAACUUUGAAAAGAGGGUUAAAAGACUUGAAAUCGUUGAAAAGGAAGCGAUAGAAGAGAAAUUUAUCCUUAGGAAGAUGGGAAUUGAGCUAAGGUUGGCGGUGUAAGGUACUUAACAGGGCCUUUGCUGUCAAACGAAAAUCAAGUCCCUGUUCCUAGGUGAUGGGCAAGAUGAGGUGGUUUUGAAGGAAUAAGGUGAAGAGUGUAUUCUCUAACUAAAAGCUUCAAAGCCGCCUGAGGGAUCUGUUGAUGAUCUUGCCAAAAUGGCUUUUAUCGA